rnacentral:rRNA from 1 species
AUUGAACGCUGGCGGCAUGCCUUACACAUGCAAGUCGAACGGUAACGGGCCUUCGGGUGCCGACGAGUGGCGAACGGGUGAGUAAUGUAUCGGAACGUACCUUUCAGUGGGGGAUAACGUAGCGAAAGUUACGCUAAUACCGCAUAUUCUGUGAGCAGGAAAGCAGGGGAUCGCAAGACCUUGCGCUGAUUGAGCGGCCGGUGUCAGAUUAGCUAGUGGGUGAGGUAAAGGCUCACCAAGGCGACGAUCUGUAGCGGGUCUGAGAGGAUGAUCCGCAACACUGGAACUGAGACACGGUCCAGACUCCUACGGGAGGCAGCAGUGGGGAAUUUUGGACAAUGGGGGCAACCCUGAUCCAGCCAUGCCGCGUGAGUGAAGAAGGCCUUCGGGUUGUAAAGCUCUUUCGGCCGGGAAAAAAUCGCAUGGGUUAAUACCCUGUGUGGAUGAUGGUACCGGAAUAAGAAGCACCGGCUAACUACGUGCCAGCAGCCGCCGUAAAAC